UACAGAGGGUGCAAGCGUUAAUCGGAAUUACUGGGCGUAAAGCGUGCGCAGACGGUUGCGUAAGUCAGAUGUGAAAGCCCCGGGCUCAACCUGGGAACUGCAUCUGUGACUGUAUAGCUAGAGUACGGUAGAGGGGGAUGGAAUUCCGCGUGUAGCAGUGAAAUGCGUAGAUAUGCGGAGGAACACCGAUGGCGAAGGCAAUCCCCUGGACCUGUACUGACGCUCAUGCACGAAAGCGUGGGGAGCAAACAGG
rnacentral:rRNA from 1 species